UUCAAUGGAGAGUUUGAUCCUGGCUCAGGACGAACGCUGGCGGCGUGCUUAACACAUGCAAGUCGAACGAUGAAGUUCCUUCG
rnacentral:rRNA from 1 species